rnacentral:rRNA from 1 species
GGAAUCUUGGACAAUGGGGGCAACCCUGAUCCAGCCAUGCCGCGUGAGCGAUGAAGGCCCUAGGGUUGUAAAGCUCUUUCACCCGUGAAGAUAAUGACGGUAGCGGGAGAAGAAGCCCCGGCUAACUCCGUGCCAGCAGCCGCGGUAAUACGGAGGGGGCUAGCGUUGUUCGGAAUUACUGGGCGUAAAGCGCGCGUAGGCGGAUGUUCAAGUCGGGGGUGAAAUCCCGGGGCUCAACCCCGGAACUGCCUCCGAUACUGGACGUCUCGAGGACGGGAGAGGCGAGUGGAAUGCCGAGUGUAGAGGUGAAAUUCGUAGAUAUUCGGUGGAACACCAGUGGCGAAGGCGACUCGCUGGACUGAUACUGACGCUGAGGUGCGAAAGCGUGGGGAGCAAAC